rnacentral:lncRNA from 1 species
UUUUCAUAGUAUAACACACUUUAAUAUUUAUUUAUUUUAAGUUGCAAUAAAAGAACAUGAAAAACAGUAUCAAAUGAAGUGAUCAUUUUCAGUGAAAGGGAAGGUAGAACAUAAUACAAAGAAAACAUGGUAUCUUCAGUUUACAAUUACACAAUAUAAGAUGAAGAAACUUUUUUAAAAAUACUAUGUCAUAUUAACACCUCGGUGGUAAACAGUAACAUCAUUAUCAUUAAAUUUAUAGGCCACUAUAUGUCACAUACACAAGGUCUCAGUUGAAUCAAAUGUGGUCUUGACAUUCUUAAAUGUAUGCUAAUCUUUUUCAAGCAGUCAAACUUCAAAAUACACUGUUUUAGUUACUAUAAGUACUGGAUUUCUAUAGCAAACUAAUGAAGGCACAGCUAGUGCAAGCAGAUUUAAACACUUAGUCUUCUGGGCUGGAAAAAAGAAAAAAAUAAAGCACUUGCAUUGGUACUUCAUGAACUUUUUUUUUUCAAGCAAAUAUUUGUUUCAGUUAACAAUUGUGACAGUUUCACAGCUACAGUCUAACAGAAACAUGACCAAAGGACAUCACAAAAAUCAACACUGUAGCACCAAACUAACAUGCUUUAGAUAAUUGACCACAGCUUACAUAUUUUGAAGAAUAUUAUACUACAACAGUCUAGAUAGAAUAAACUGGCGCUUAGACACUUUUUAGGACAAUUUUUAAAAUACAGACUACCAAGAAACCACAAAAACAUGACUAUAAGGAAUAAGAGUGUUCAGGUUACAGGUCAGGGUUUUACUUUUUUCAAGGCUGUAUGAAUCUGCUUCACUUCUUGAGAUUUUAAGAUUCUUGAAAGAUCUUUCAGAUUGACUUAUUUUCUGUAUUUCCUGUUUCCAUAAUGUUUGCCAAAUUGAUAGUAGGUACCAUUGACUUCUCCAGUAUAGUAAUAGAUUGAUUUCAGGAUGACAUUAUCAUGUAAAAUCUGCCCAAUUUCAAAGUCCUCAUCCAGGAUAGCAUCUUCUCGUGGUUCCAGCUUCCCAAUCAUAGGAAUCUCAGGAGGACUAAAGAAAUUGAAGAAUGAUGCAUUAGGAACCACUCUUGGCUGGAUUUCAAUUUCUCCAGUAGCAGUUGUGCGACUCUGAGUAGUUGUCACAGUAACAUCUUUUCCUCUUCUCCAGUCUAUCUUGCAGCCUUUGCAAUCUUCAAUUUCCCAUCCCCAAGAAAAGAAGGGAUCAUUGUGAUCUGGUUUUGACUUUAUUAUAUAUGUCUUCACCAGCACCUCAUUUCUGAAGUAUGGAUUGGGUAGAAAAUGAAAUUCAAAGGUGUAACUUACAGGCUGGCCAGGUUUUGAGAACUUCAGGCUAACAUCCGACAAGAACUUCAGAAUGGGCUCAUCAUACUUCUGAAUCAUAGGCCCGAGCUUGUCAACAUUCUUUAAAACAAUCAGCCAAUAGUCAGGAAUGCCUUUAGGGUCUUCUCUUUUAGGCUUUCCCCUCCUAGCUCUUUUAAGAUCUACACUGUCCUGAAGCCUUUCCUCAGGAACUCUUUUAUGAGCCUCUCUUACUGCAGCCCUUGCCUUAGCCUCUGUUGCUUUAGGCUGUUCUUUAUCAUCUGCCUUUACCUGGGGGCUUCUUUAGGAUCUUCUUUUACUUCAGGGGUUGCCUCCAUACAGUCUGCUUUAGAAUCUGCUUUUUCUUCAGCCUUUAUCUCAGGGAUUUCUUUAGGAACUUCCUUUUCUUCAUCUUUUACCUCAGGAAUUUCUUUAGGAACUUCCUUCUCUUCAGCUUUCACCUCUGGGUUUUCUUUAGGGGUUUCUUCUUCCUCACCCUCUAAGGGAGGCAUUUCACUAGGGGUGUUAUCCUGCACCUCCUCAUCACUGCUGAACUCCUCAUCCUCUGAAUUCCAUUCACAUUCUUCUUCUGUAGGCUCGUAUUCUGCAUUGAUGAUUUGAAACCGCCUAUCAUAUAGAGGCUUGUUGAGUUCAGCAUAUUUUCUUUCAAGAUCAUGAAUUGCUUUUAAGAACAGGGUGUCUACCUUGUCACAUUCUUCUUGAAUGUUUCUAAGCGCUUGCACACGAUUUCUAACUGCCUGAGGCAGCCUAUCCACGAAAUUUGUUCCCAAGGGGGCCCGCCGCGCCCUGCUGGAAGGCUCAGGUACCCUCUUCUUUCUAUAUAAGCGGCUGCGGCUGCUAGUGCUGCCGCUGCUGCUGCUGCUGCCGCUGCCGCUGCUGCUGCUGCUGCUGCCACUACUGCUGCUGCCGCUGCUGCUGCCACUAGUGCUGCUGCUAGAGCUACUGCUGUCAGAUUCUUCCCCAGAAUCACUAGUCGAGCUAGCCAUCUCCUCUUCGGCAACCCCAUGGGCGACGGGUUCCGAGACCAUUUUAAAAUCUGCUUCUGCCAUCUUGCAAGCCUGAAAACUCUACCGCGGAGACCGCGCGACCAGAGAUGGGCAGAAAAUGACUCACGGAUGCUUGAGUGGCGGCGGCGGAGGCCCGGGCUGCGGAGGUGGCAGCGGCGAUGGCAGCAGCGGCGCAGAGCGGAGCUGGAGCUGGGGAUGCAGAGGCCGGCGCUGAGGUGGCAGCGGCAGUGGAGGCCUGGGCGACAGCGGUGGCGGCAAGGCCUCUCCCGGCUGCAGCUACACAGUGCCGAGAUGUACCGCAGCCGAAUGGCGCAGUAUGAGACCCCGAGAUCUCUUCUCGUUUUAGAUCGCGAGCCCCCUCCCCUCGCAGUCAGACCUCCCGUUAAUUUCGUUCCC